UAGGGAAUAUUGGACAAUGGGCGAAAGCCUGAUCCAGCCAUGCCGCGUGAUAGAUGAAGGCCCUCUGGGUUGUAAAUAUCUUUUAUCUGGGAAGAAACACCUCUAUUCUUAGAGGCUUGACGGUACCAGAGGAAUAAGCACCGGCUAACUCCGUGCCAGCAGCCGCGGUAAUACGGAGGGUGCAAGCGUUAUCCGGAUUCACUGGGUUUAAAGGGUGCGUAGGUGGGUUGAUAAGUCAGUGGUGAAAGCUCCGAGCUUAACUUGGAAACUGCCAUUGAUACUGUCAGUCUUGAAUGUCGUAGAGGUAAGCGGAAUGUUGCAUGUAGCGGUGAAAUGCUUAGAUAUGUUACAGAACACCAAUUGCGAAGGCAGCUUACUAUGCGAUUAUUGACGCUGAGGCACGAAAGCGUGGGGAGCAAACA
rnacentral:rRNA from 1 species